rnacentral:rRNA from 1 species
UACGUAGGGUGCAAGCGUUGUCCGGAAUUAUUGGGCGUAAAGAGCUCGUAGGCGGUUUGUCGCGUCUGCUGUGAAAACUCGGGGCUUAACCCCGGGCCUGCAGUGGGUACGGGCAGACUAGAGUGCGGUAGGGGAGACUGGAAUUCCUGGUGUAGCGGUGAAAUGCGCAGAUAUCAGGAGGAACACCGGUGGCGAAGGCGGGUCUCUGGGCCGUAACUGACGCUCAGGCGCGACAGCGUGGGGAUCAAACAGG